UGGCCGAAGGAUCAUUAUCGAGUUAGGGUCCUCCGGGCCCCAUCUCCAACCCUUGUCUAUCUUACCGCGUUGCUUUGGCGGGCCCGUCUUUUAAUCGGACUGUCGGGGGGUUUGCUUCCUGACUCGCGCCCGCCAAUAGACCCCAUAAAAUUCGUUGAAUAGUGAUGUCUGAGUCACAAACCCAAUAACUAAAACUUUCAACAACGGAUCUCUUGGUUCUGGCAUCGAUGAAGAACGCAGCGAAAUGCGAUAAGUAAUGCGAAUUGCAGAAUUCCGUGAGUCAUCGAAUCUUUGAACGCACAUUGCGCCCUUUGGUAUUCCGAAGGGCAUGCCUGUCCGAGCGUCAUUAUCAACCCUCAAGCCCAGCUUGCAGUUGGGUCUCACCGUGGCGAGCACGGCGGACCCGAAAGAAAAUGGCGGUGCCCGCGGGACCCCGGAUGCAAUCGAGCUUUUUAGCACGCGUCUGGAUGGUCUUCCGGCGUCGUCUCAACCAAUCUCUUCUCGCAUAUUGACCUCGGAUCAGGUAGGAAUACCCGCUGAACUUUAAGC
rnacentral:rRNA from 1 species